CCAAUAGCGUAUAUUAAAGUUGUUGCAGUUAAAAAGCUCGUAGUUGAAUUUCGGGAUCAAUUUAUUGGUCGUGCUAUUGUACGUACUGGUAUUAUUGAUUCCUACCUUCUGACGAACCAUGAUGUCAUUAAUUUGGUGUCAUGGGGAAUCAGGACUGUUACUUUGAAAAAAUUAGAGUGUUUAAAGCAGGCUCACGCUUGAAUACAUUAGCAUGGAAUAACGAAAUAGGACGUUUGAUUCUAUUUUGUUGGUUUCUAGGAUCGACGUAAUGAUUAAUAUGGAUAGUUGGGGGCAUUAGUAUUCAAUUGUCAGAGGUGAAAUUCUUGGAUUUAUUGAAGACUAACUACUGCGAAAGCAUUUGCCAAGGAUGUUUUCAUUAAUCAAGAACGAAAGUUAGGGGAUCGAAGACGAUCAGAUACCGUCGUAGUCUUAACCAUAAACUAUGCCGACUAGGGAUCGGAUGAUGUUAAUUUUUUAAUGACUCAUUCGGCGCCUUACG
rnacentral:rRNA from 1 species